UACGGGGGGGGGCAAGCGUUGUUCGGAAUUACUGGGCGUAAAGGGCUCGUAGGCGGCCAACUAAGUCAGACGUGAAAUCCCUCGGCUUAACCGGGGAACUGCGUCUGAUACUGGUUGGCUUGAAUCCGGGAGAGGGAUGUGGAAUUCCAGGUGUAGCGGUGAAAUGCGUAGAUAUCGGAAGGAACGCCGGUGGCGAAAGCGACGCACUGGACCUCUUCUGACGCUGAGGCGCGAAAGCCAGGGGAGCAAACGGGG
rnacentral:rRNA from 1 species